AUCUCCUACAUUGCAAGUGUUUUCUUUACCACUGAGCCACCUGUGAAGCCCAGGAACUGAGAUACCUGGAUCAAAAACAAGUCAGAGACUUGGACACAGAGGAAAACAUAAAGAAGCCAAUCAACAAAAUAUAGUUUUUUUCCUUCCCACAGAUUGGGCUGAGCAAACUGCCCUGGCAAGAGGCCACCAGAAAUUCCAGUUGCAGAAGACUGUAAUCUUCCUUCACAAAAAGGCCUGGAAAGUGCCGCUGCUGCUAAGUCGCUUCCGUUGUGUCCGACUCUGUGCGACCCCAUAGACCGCAGCCCACCAGGCUCCUCCGUCCUUGGGAUUCUCCAGGCAAGAACACUGGAGUGGGUUGCCAGUUCCUUCUCCAAUGCAUGAAAGUGAAAAGUGAGAGUGAAGUCGCUCAGUCUUGUCCGACUCUUCGCGACCGCGUGGACUGCAGCCUACCAGGCUCCUCCGUCCAUGGGAUUUUCCAGGCAAGAGUAUUGGAGUGGGGUGCCAUUGCCUUCUCCAAUGCCCUAUUGCUCUUAAACAUCUCUAACCCUUACUCAAGAAAAGGGCAAAGGUUAAGUAAAAAUGUUUGGCAUAGUCGAUUUCUUAAGAAUAAUAAAAAUGCAUACUCACACUAUGGAUAAACUUUUUAAAGUAUGUUCUGCCUUAUUUUCUGAGGUAUAAAAAUAUUUUAAGGCAAUUUCAAUGAAUCAGAUUUCAAGAAACUACUAGAACAUCUUUUGUGAGUUGCUUUCAUUUUGUCUGAAUUAUGAUAUGUAUUUCAACACUGUGCUCUACCAGAGUAUGUAGGUUUGUCUGUCACUUCACAGCUGUCAAAGGGAAAUUCUUAUUUUAAAUCUCUAUAUCAUCAUUGAAUAGUUCUAAUAAUAAAAGGCCUAAAUUUUAGGUCCUCAGGGAUAUCAAGGUAUCUCAUCUACUGUGUUGUUCAAGCUCUGGCAGCAUGUUGUAAAACAGAUAUGUAAUAAGCAAUAGAGGGUAAG
ensembl:lncRNA